UCCGAGUUGACCCCGGCAGUCUCCUAUGAGUCCCCGCCAUAACGCGCUGGCAACAUAGAACGAGGGUUGCGCUCGUUGCGGGACUUAACCCAACAUCUCACGACACGAGCUGACGACAACCAUGCACCACCUGUACACCGCCCUUGCGGACACGGGCUUUCACCCGCUUUAACUAGCAUGUCAAACCCAGGUAAGGUUCUUCGCGUUGCAUCGAAUUAAGCCACAUGCUCCGCCGCUUGUGCGGGCCCCCGUCAAUUCCUUUGAGUUUUAGCCUUGCGGCCGUACUCCCCAGGCGGGGUGCUUAAUGCGUUAGCUUCGGCACGGAACGGGUUGAUGCGCCCCACACCUAGCACCCAUCGUUUACGGCUGGGACUAC
rnacentral:misc_RNA from 1 species